GGAUAUCCGCUGUCCCGUCUGCUGGAAGCAGAGGAGACUAUUGAGCAUCUUUUAUUCGAAUGUUGUGUCGCAAUGCGAGUUACAUCCUUGGAUGGUCUUCCCAUUCUUGGUUCGGUCGCGUUGCAUCCAUCUAUUGUCUAGCAGGAACUUCUACGCUGUCAACCGCAUCUUGGGCUGACCUACACUAUACUUUGGUGGCGAUUAUGAAAGGGCCAUAAUUUAGUGGUCUUUGACAAAAAACCAGCUCCAGCC
rnacentral:lncRNA from 1 species